rnacentral:rRNA from 1 species
CUAGUUGGUAGGGUAACGGCCUACCAAGGCUAUGAUCGGUAGCCGGCCUGAGAGGGCACACGGCCACACUGGCACUGAAACACGGGCCAGACUCCUACGGGAGGCAGCAGUGGGGAAUCUUGCACAAUGGGGGCAACCCUGAUGCAGCGACGCCGCGUGAGCGAUGAAGCCCUUCGGGGUGUAAAGCUCUUUCGGCAGGGAAGAUUAUGACGGUACCUGCAGAAGCAGCUGCGGCUAACUACGUGCCAGCAGCCGCGGUAAUACGUAGGCAGCAAGCGUUGUUCGGAGUUACUGGGCGUAAAGGGUGUGUAGGCGGCCUUCUAAGUUUGGUGUGAAAUCUCCCGGCUCAACCGGGAGGGUGCGCCGAAGACUGGGGGGCUAGAGUGCGGGAUGGGAGAGUAGAAUUCCUGGUGUAGCGGUGAAAUGCGUAGAUAUCAGGAGGAAUACCUGUGGUGUAGACGGCUCUCUGGACCGCAACUGACGCUGAGACACGAAAGCGUGGGUAGCAAACAGGAUUAGAUACCCUGGUAGUCCACGCCCUAAACGAUGCAUAUUUGGUGUAGGUCAUUCAGUUGAUCUGUGCCGGAGCUAACGCGUUAAAUAUGCCGCCUGGGGAGUACAGUCGCAAGGCUGAAACUCAAAGGAAUUGACG